UACAGAGGUCUCAAGCGUUGUUCGGAUUCAUUGGGCGUAAAGGGUGCGUAGGCGGCGCGGUAAGUCGGGUGUGAAAUCUCGGAGCUUAACUCCGAAACUGCAUUCGAUACUGCCGUGCUUGAGGACUGGAGAGGAGACUGGAAUUUACGGUGUAGCGGUGAAAUGCGUAGAUAUCGUAAGGAAGACCAGUGGCGAAGGCGGCCAUCUGGACGGUGACUGACGCUGAGACGCGAAAGCGUGGGGAGCAAACAGG
rnacentral:rRNA from 1 species